AACGAACGCUGGCGGCAGGCCUAACACAUGCAAGUCGAGCGCGCCUUCGGGUGAGCGGCGGACGGGUGCGUAACGCGUGGGAAUAUGCCCUUCUCUACGGAAUAGUCCUGGGAAACUGGGGGUAAUACCGUAUACGCCCUUUGGGGGAAAGAUUUAUCGGGGAAGGAUUAGCCCGCGUUGGAUUAGGUAGUUGGUGGGGUAAUGGCCUACCAAGCCGACGAUCCAUAGCUGGUUUGAGAGGAUGAUCAGCCACACUGGGACUGAGACACGGCCCAGACUCCUACGGGAGGCAGCAGUGGGGAAUCUUAGACAAUGGGGGCAACCCUGAUCUAGCCAUGCCGGGUGAGUGAUGAAGGCCUUAGGGUUGUAAAGCUCUUUCAGCUGGGAAGAUAAUGACGGUACCAGCAGAAGAAGCCCCGGCUAACUCCGUG
rnacentral:rRNA from 1 species